UACAGAGGGGGCAAGCGUUGUUCGGAAUUACUGGGCGUAAAGGGCGCGUAGGCGGCCUGUUAAGUCGAACGUGAAAUCCCUGGGCUCAACCCAGGAACUGCGUCCGAUACUGGCAGGCUUGAAUCCGGGAGAGGGAUGCGGAAUUCCAGGUGUAGCGGUGAAAUGCGUAGAUAUCUGGAGGAACACCGGUGGUGAAGGCGGCAUCCUGGACCGGCAUUGACGCUGAGGCGCGAAAGUGUGGGGAGCGAACAGG
rnacentral:rRNA from 1 species